ACAGAUAUUUAGAUAAAGUUCUUAUAGGAGUAGAUCCUAAGAAAACGGUCAUACUGGGAAAAUCUUAAAUGGCUUAAAGUGGAAGACAGAUUAUUACUAUUAUGUGGACAUAAAAUGUGUGUAAGCCCAACAAUGAUUGUAAUUAAAAGUAAAUGUCAGUAAAAUGAAAGCAUUUAGCCUUUUACACAACAUGUUUCAAAGCACAGUAAAUCAAUAGCCAAAACAUACUGUUCUGAGAUCCAACAGAAGGUGGCAGCAUUAUUUCACAAGCUGUUUCAUUCACACUAAACAAGCACCUAAUGUCUAGAAGAUACACGGACAUUGCACAGAACAUGUUUCAUAUUUCAGUAAUCCACACCCACAUUCAUACAGGACAGAACUUCAUUCUGUCUCUGUGCUUUCAUUCAACCAACAGCAACAAUACUUUGAAGCGAACAAAUACUGCAAGUUAAUAACCAUAAUCCAAUACAUUUAAUAAGAAGACACUUAAAAUCUGAGCUUUAAAGUGGGCCUUAGUUGAAAUGGAGGAGAGGCAGAUGCUGCUCAUAAUGCUCAUCACAGUUUCAGGUGGAUUUGCUGAUAAAAUUGGACCAAGUGAAGAAGAUACUAAUAUAACCAGAGAAGAAGGAGAGUCUGUGACACUGAUCUGCACAUAUGAAACUAACAGCAAUGAUAUUUGGCUUUACUGGUACAGACAGUAUCCAAACAGAGAACCAGAAUAUAUACUGUAUAAAGGUGCUCGAUCAAGGAGCAAUCAGGAAGAUAUACCAGAUGGGUUUCAAUCAACUACAUCCCAGUCAUCCACUGAACUCAUUAUAAACAGUGUAACUUUAAUAGACUCAGCUCUCUAUUACUGUGCACUUGAAGUAGCCCAGUGAUACAAAAUGCCUGAGA